rnacentral:rRNA from 1 species
AAUGAACGCUGGCGGCAGGCCUAACACAUGCAAGUCGAACGGAGAGGCGGACGGGUGAGCAAUGGAUGGGAAACUGCCUGAUGGAGGGGGAAAAGGAGGGGAAAAGGUAGCUAAUAGCGCAUACGGUCGGAUGGGGUCAGGUGGGAUUAGCUAGUAGGGGGGGUAACGGCUCAUCAAGGCGACGAGCCCUAGCUGGCCUGAGAGGAUGAACCGCCCCACUGGAACUGAGACACGGUCCAGACUCCUACGGGAGGCAGCAGUGGGGAAUAUUGGGCAAUGGGCGAAAGCCUGAUCCAGCCAUGCCGCGUGUGUGAAGAAGGUCUUCGGAUUGUAAAGCUCUUUAAGUUGGGAGGCGUUACCUACCGAAUAAGCACCGGCUAACUACGUGCCAGCAGCCGCGGUAAUUC